GUUCCUCGGACUCUCGGCUUCCUCUCUGCUCCCCUUCGAGCGAUCGAUCCGGGCGGUGACGAAGUGGAGGAGAGCAGAAGGGAUUCUGGCGGUCAGCGCAGCCGUCGCCCUCGUUGACAUCGGCCGAAACCUCCUCGGUUCUGCCAUCAAAGCCCACGUACAGAGCAGAAGGAAGAAGCAACAACGACAAAGCCGUGAGUAGAAGAAAGCAGCGAGACUGAAAACAAAGUGGAAUUAAUGCUCCUGGAUAUGUGCAUGUGGAUCGCACUGAUGGCAGAUAAAGUUUCAAGUGGCUGUUGUGUAGCCAAAUGUCUGAACAUGUGCAGCACAAGGGAGAUCAGGAUGCUGAAAUAUUGCUCCAGGUUUCUGGUAAACAAGUGGAGCACAAACAUGCCCUGGGGAUCUGGCUAAAGACUAAGUCAUGUCUAGAGGAUCUGAUUCCAGUGACUUCAAGCAUUUUCCACAUGGGACAAAGAAAGGAAAACUUGUAUCUAAGAAAGAAAUCAACUGAAACUCGAGCUUCCAUGCAUGAGUUAUUUGCUUGCAGAUGAAGAGCUUGAACCUGAGUUAGGACUGACAGGAAGACAGGUAUUAUUACCAGAUUGCUUGUUGAAAACUAUAGAAAUCAAAUCAUCAGAGAAGGCAGGGUAUAGCUUUCUCUCUCUUUGCACCUUUAACAAUAUUUUUUCUAAAAUUUAUAAUUUUCUAA